rnacentral:rRNA from 1 species
AGCAGCCGCGGUAAUUCCAGCUCCAAUAGCGUAUAUUAAAGUUGUUGCAGUUAAAAAGCUCGUAGUUGAAUUUCGGGGUCAGUAGGUUGGUCGUGCCACUGGUAUGCACUGGUCUCACUGAUUCCUCCUUCCUGAUGAACCGUAAUGCCAUUAAUUUGGUGUUGCGGGGAAUCUGGACUGUUACUUUGAAAAAAUUAGAGUGUUUAAAGCAGGCUAACGCUUGAAUACAUUAGCAUGGAAUAAUGAAAUAGGACGAUCGAUCCUAUUUUGUUGGUUUCUAGGAUUGACGUAAUGAUUAAUAGGGAUAGUUGGGGGCAUUAGUAUUCAAUUGUCAGAGGUGAAAUUCUUGGAUUUAUUGAAGACUAACUACUGCGAAAGCAUUUGCCAAGGAUGUUUUCAUUAAUCAAGAACGAAAGUUAGGGGAUCGAAGACGAUCAGAUACCGUCGUAGUCUUAACCAUAAACUAUGCCGACUAGGGAUCGGAUGAUGUUAAUUUUUUAAUGA